GGAUGCCAUAGUUGCCGAUCAGAGGAUAUGUCAGCACUAAGAUUUGUGCUUUGUAGGAAGGGUCAGUGAGAGCUUCGGGGUAGCCGACCAUGCCGGUUUGAAACACUGCAAAAAGAGGCACGGCUGGACUCCGGCAAGGGCACCCUUCACAACACCGCCAGAGCGGAGGUUACCCUCGUGGAGGCUGCCUUGGGCCGCCAUGGGAACCGAGCUGAAGCAGGGGUGAACCCAGAGACGCAGGAGGCGCUGCACGCCCCACUGGAACCACGCGAGGGCGGCGCGCCGGAGUCGGUCCACGUGGCUAGCAGCACAGAGCGCUAGAGAGAAGGCGGGCGCCGCGAGUGAGGUUCCUGCCCUAUGCAUUCCUUUUAUUACUAAUAAGAAGAUCAAAUCCUCACCUGGUGCAUACACUUGUAUCCGUGGAAGCCAUCAGCACAAACACACUGCAAGACACCAGGACCAUCAACUGCACAAGAUCCAUUCUCGGGACACAUUUCUGGAAGUCAGAAAGAAAGGAGAACAUCACUGAAUGGCAUCAGGUUUAUUCCAAAAUAUGUGCUUUAACUUAGUUCUCAGAAUACAAAUAAUCAGAACAUAAUAAUAUUUAAGAUCUUUUCUUUCCAAAGAGUUAAAGCCUCAGAUCUUCAAACAAAAGACAACUUAAGUAUCAUUAUAUUUCUGAUCUAAAACAGAUAAUAUAAGGGAGGAAAGGAAAUGCUCAGAAGGGUGGAGAUAAGACAGCAUACCUGGGUCUCCAGUGCUAUUGCAAAGGUUCCUUUGCCCUUGGCAGAUCUUGUUGUCUUUAUAAGAGAUAACUUGUUUCCAGGCAUUAUUACCCCCAGGACAGCUUAUAUCUUGUGGCAGUACCCUGAAGACAACAUAGGUGAUCAUAACAUGCAGCCUGAGGGGCUGAGGGUGUAACUCUGAGGUAGAGCAAAUGCUUAACAUGCAAGAGCCAUAGAUUCAAUCCCCAACACCAAAAAGAAUAAAAUAAAAGAAAGAAGAAAAAGAAAAUGUAGCCCAAAGUUACUGAAUUUGUAGCAUUUGCCCUAUCCUGUUACUCACAGAGUCUGGAGCUGGAUAAAGCCAUGGAAGGUGUUGGCCAAGUUAUCCUUGAGAGGGUUUGCUUGAAGGUCUCUGCAAAGCACACACUGUUCAGGAAAGCAUCUUUUUCCUGAUUAUCCAAUAUUAAUAUUCAUUCACUUUCUAAAGGGUCCAUCUCCAAAGAUUUUCCUAUCAACACUUUAUCAUAUUCACCUUUUGGGCAAGGGGGUACCUAACCACUUACAUGAUAACAGCAGUAUAUGCUUGAGGAAAGUUUGGCCCAGGAUCCUCCAAAGAACAGUUCUGGAGAUCCAAUCUGAGGAAAUAAAAUAAUUAGUAUAACUAUGUAUCUUUUUUUUUACUCCAAGGCAAGGUUUGUAUUUGAUUAUGCAGUCCCCCUUUCAGCUAAUGAUAAUUGAAUACAAUUGUUUAGAGCCACAGACUAGGUGUUGUGGUGGACAUUUCAAUCAUGCAUUAUCUGAUACAAUCAAUACUAGCUAUAUGUAGUUACUUUAAUUUAGUCUAAAAAUUCAGUGUUUCAUUUGCAUUAGUCACAUUUCAAAGUGCAUGUGAAAUAACCACCUUAGUGGCUAUGUUUUGUUUAGUACAGAUUAGAACAUUUCCAUUAUCACAGAAUAUUCUAUUGGACCAAACUGUUCUAAUACUUUUUUCUAUGCACUGUGCAAAUAUUGGAAGAAAUUUUGUUCUUGUUUAGAUUAGUGAAUCUUAUAUCGAUUCUCAGAUCCACAGAAGACAUUUAAAUUUAAAAAAAUGUAUCACAUACAGUUUUUUUUCCAAGUGCAAUUUCUAUUACCGACGGAUUCUAAACUCCUGGACAUUAAACUCCAUGACAUGCUA